rnacentral:rRNA from 1 species
AACGAACGCUGGCGGCAUGCCUAACGCAUGCAAGUCGAACGAGACCUUCGGGUCUAGUGGCGCACGGGUGCGUAACGCGUGGGAACCUGCCUUUAGGUUCGGAAUAACUCAGAGAAAUUUGAGCUAAUACCGGAUGAUGUCUUCGGACCAAAGAUUUAUCGCCUUUAGAUGGGCCCGCGUUGGAUUAGCUAGUUGGUGGGGUAAAGGCCUACCAAGGCGACGAUCCAUAGCUGGUCUGAGAGGAUGAUCAGCCACACUGGGACUGAGACACGGCCCAGACUCCUACGGGAGGCAGCAGUGGGGAAUAUUGGACAAUGGGCGAAAGCCUGAUCCAGCAAUGCCGCGUGAGUGAUGAAGGCCUUAGGGUUGUAAAGCUCUUUUACCCGAGAUGAUAAUGACAGUAUCGGGAGAAUAAGCUCCGGCUAACUCCGUG